rnacentral:rRNA from 1 species
UACGUAGGGGGCAAGCGUUGUCCGGAAUCAUUGGGCGUAAAGCGCGUGUAGGCGGCUCGGUAAGUCCGCUCUGAAAGUCCAGGGCUCAACCCUGGGAUGCGGGUGGAUACUGUCGGGCUUGAGUACGGAAGAGGCGAGUGGAAUUCCUGGUGUAGCGGUGAAAUGCGCAGAUAUCAGGAGGAACACCAAUUGCGAAGGCAGCUCGCUGGGACGUUACUGACGCUGAGACGCGAAAGCGUGGGGAGCAAACAGG